rnacentral:tRNA from 1 species
GCACUAGUGGUCUUUUGGUAGAAUAGUACCCUGCCACGUUAUAGACCCGGGUUUGAUUCACAGCUAGUGCA